CAGUGGAGAUAACAGAGGAAGGUAUAAAAGGAAGAGCAAAUGCAUGGAUUUUGGAAAGCACAAUGCGAAGAGCUUUUGGGGAGAAACGAGAGAUGAAACUGAAAAGGUAUUUUGGGGCCAUAUCUGGAGCGGGCCUUGAAUCUCAACGACAGUUAAAAAUGUUUGAAAAAACUGCUGUGUGGGAUGUGCAGUGAGUCAGCAAGAGAUGAAUAAAAGAAGUGCUGAGCAGAAAUGACGGUUUGGUUAAAGUGAACAAGCACAAAUGUGUGGCAGACUCAAUCAGCACAGCUUUCUCCAGCAGCACUCGGCAGCCCAGCAAGGAAGCGACUGGAAGUUCAAGCAGUUCAAGGUACAUACCAGGAGGAAUUUGGGCAUGCAACCGAAGCAGUAAUUCCAUCUCUGCCACAAAAAUAAGGAAGAAAGGAUACCCAGCAGUUCUAGGACAUAACUGUGCAGAAGAGCACCCAUGUUCCACGUGCUUCCGUGUGGAAACACAACCACGUUGCUUACCUUCCUCCUUGUGCUGCAUUCAAAUAAAUAUUUUCUAAGGAACAUUUGAAAAUUAAACCCUACAUGAAUUUGAGGAAGGUGGACAACUCCUGUAGCUGGUUCUGAUUCUAGGCUUUAUGGGCCAUCAAGGUCUAUUGAGAAAGAAAAUCACUCAUUUUAAGAGUGAAGGGCCCUGAUCCUAGCCUCGAGGAAGAGGGCCUGGUGCCCAGGAGGCCAGUGAGGGGAAUUGAACAGCCUCUGCUUACAUGCUUGCUAGAAUGCCCUGGAUUGUAACGGGAGAAAAGCCUUCACCGCCAACCACCCAGGCUCAAGCCCCUCCAGCCAAACCACCGGUAUCACUUUCCUGUGGCUGCCAUACAAAAGCAGUGGUUUCAACAGCACAAAUUGAUGCCCUCGCAGUGCUGGACAGCAGAAGUCCCAACCAUUUUCCACAAUGGAGCACAGCUUCUAAUGAGUUCACAAAACUUACUGCCUAUAUUACAACAAGAAAGAACAGUGAAGCCUUGCUGAGGUCUAGAUACUCGGCCGAGCAUGACUCAUUUCCCGUGAGAAAAUUCACUACUGCACUCCCACUUUGCGGCAUUCAAGAUUUGGAUUGCACCUCAGCAAUGUUCAAAACGCCUUUGAAUUGGGCUUUUAUGGGCUUUUGUGAGUAAUCAAAACUUAAAAUGUUAAGUCCAUGAGUGGUCAGGUUCUACAGUGGACAGAAAAGUGUUGAGGAAGUUGAAAGAAAAGAGAAAUCCCAGCUGAUGGAGGAAAACCAAGCCGGCUUCGUGCAGAAGACAGCCAUAGGGCUGAGCGCUGGUGUCUAAGCCAGCCUUUUCUAAGUCGGUGGGACUGCAGAAAAGAUUCCAAGAGGAGGAAAUGCCAUGAGCUGAGGUGCGAACACAGGGACGAGCUGGGUCUGUUCAGGAUGCACCAAAUAGCCAUAGGAGAAUAAAGUAGAAGAAAGAAGGAGCUGGAUUAUAU